GCCGCCGGCCGGACCCUUCGCCGUUGGCAGCGCGUCCGGAAACGCCUCCCGACCGCAGGCGUGCGUGGCAGCCAGGGGCUGCGGCCGCGGAACAGCGGCGGUCGUGCCUCACUCUGCCUGCCCGCCGCUGAAGGUGACGAGCAGCACAUGUGCCCCUCGCAGCCCCCGUGGACUGCGGCGCAGCAUAACCGCACUAAACUUCAUGCGAGUGCUGUGCUGCCGAGACAACAGAGCUGUGUUGGGGUCCAGUACGGUCUUUCCCCACCGCGUGCCUUUUCCCGGCGAUGGCAGUUUCCCUGUCAGUCCAGGGGAGACGGAGGGUGUCCCUCCCCCGCCGUUCAGCACAAGCAUUGUGCAGCGAGGCUGUGCCUAUAAAAGAGAAGUGCUGGGCCCUGCUCUACUGCUCGGACUUUCACGUGCAUGGGAGAACUCGGGGACCUCGAAGCUCACCGGUAUCAUACAGACAGGUUAAUGUUGUUCAUAUCACAGCACUUCAGUAUCAGUAUCAUUUUAGGCUGGCGUAAAAUAACUGCGAAGCAGUUCCAGAUGCAAAAUUGCUGCAGGGUCAGGCCCCACACCUGUGGGAGACCAUACCUUAAGGUGACUGUCUCAAAGCUUGUUUGCAAUCCUGAUGAGCUCAUUGCGAGACUUCCUGACAGUUUAACCAAGCUCAGCUGCUGUGAACAGAUAAGGGACAAACAGCCACCCGAAACCAGUUUCGACCAAGGUCAAGAACGGUCAUGUCACUUUGGGGGAUGUGCCUGAGCAUGGGUGACCACCCCAACCUGCCAAGGCAUGCGCAGUCCACGGCAAAUGAUCAUGCAGUAAUCACAUGAGCUCCACGGCAGGACUGAGAGCAUGCACAGGAAUGCAGUAAGACUCUACAAAGGACUGUGCGAUGAAACGGCUGGUGGGACCCUCAUCACCAAAGUACACAGAGACUACGGACCAAUGGGAUGCUGCUGGAUCCAUGAUGGUGACUAUCUCUUGCAACUCUAUCCCGAAUGUUUGCUAGAUUUAUUUCCUUUCCAUUUUCUCUCUCUUUCGUAUCGCUAUUUUCCUACCACAGUAAAUAAAUACUUGGUUUAGACAAGUAA